AAUCACACGUGAUGUGCAAUCAAUCUGCAGAAAAGAGUUCCUGCAAACCGUUAGUUUCUGUUCGAAUCAAAACAAUGCGGCUAAAACACUAGUUUGGGUUAGCGUGCUAAACAACAUGGAUGUUUACAUCUUGGAUCCUGUCCAACAUUCCUAGCAAUGAGCGGAGCAGGGAUGUGAACUGCAGAGCGCGGAGAGGAAGAAGAUCUGAAUGAGGACAGUUUAAUGUUAAAUCGACGGCAACAGGCAGAUAAAAAUCCAUCGCAAUGAAACGCUAACUGCUGUGGAAUUACUGGGACUAUCCCUUUACAAUAUGUAUACAUGAAUCAUUUUAAAUCAAUGAAAUGAUCUUUUAA